rnacentral:rRNA from 1 species
CCUUGAUUCAGCGGCGGACGGGUGAGUAAUACCUAGGAAUCUGCCUGGUAGUGGGGGACAACGUUUCGAAAGGAACGCUAAUACCGCAUACGUCCUACGGGAGAAAGCAGGGGACCUUCGGGCCUUGCGCUAUCAGAUGAGCCUAGGUCGGAUUAGCUAGUUGGUGAGGUAAUGGCUCACCAAGGCUACGAUCCGUAACUGGUCUGAGAGGAUGAUCAGUCACACUGGAACUGAGACACGGUCCAGACUCCUACGGGAGGCAGCAGUGGGGAAUAUUGGACAAUGGGCGAAAGCCUGAUCCAGCCAUGCCGCGUGUGUGAAGAAGGUCUUCGGAUUGUAAAGCACUUUAAGUUGGGAGGAAGGGCAUUAACCUAAUACGUUAGUGUUUUGACGUUACCGACAGAAUAAGCACCGGCUAACUCUG